rnacentral:rRNA from 1 species
GACGAACGCUGGCGGCGCGCUUAACACAUGCAAGUCGAGCGCGAACCAGGACUUCGGUCCUGGGGACAGCGGCGAACGGGUGAGUAACACGUGGAUAACCUGCCCUCGGCACCGGGAUAGCCCGAGGAAACUCGGAUUAAUACCGGAUAGCCCUUCGACUCUCGAGUCGGUCCGAAAAGGUAGCUUCGGCCUCUGGCCGGGGAUGGGUCCGCGGCGGAUUAGCUUGUUGGUGGGGUAACGGCCUACCGAAGGCANCGAUCCGUAGCUGGUCUGAGAGGACGAUCAGCCACACUGGGACUGAGACACGGCCCAGACUCCUACGGGAGGCAGCAGGUGGGGAAUCUUGCGCAAUGGGCGAAAGCCUGACGCAGCGACGCCGCGUGA